CGGAAGCGAGCCUACGUAACAUAAUCACGGUAAUCGGAGUUUAUGAAUAGUUUCAUGGUUUUGAUGUCACUCAAAAUUUUCUUUCUAGAAAAUAUUAUAACUGGAAUAAAUUGAAGGAAGCUGAAACUGCUUUAAACUAGGAUAUUCAAGGUGCAAACAUUUCUACAAUGUAUUGCAAUGGUGAAAAGGAGCAAAAACCAAUGUAGGAGUAACAGUUAUGAUUUUGCAUGACUAUUUCUUGGCAAAAGAAACAAAAAGAAGAGCAGUUAAAUUUACAAUGAUUACAUGACGAAUAUGGACAUGAACUGUAAGCUUACAAAAAACUUUGUUAUGAAAACUUUCUAAGGAUGCACCGAUUAAUCGGUAAGUAAUUGGUAAUCGGCUGUAUCGGCCACUUAGCCGAUUAAUCGGUAUCGGCCAUUCCCCCCGAUUAAUC